UACGUAGGGAGCGAGCGUUGUCCGGAAUUACUGGGUGUAAAGGGAGCGUAGGCGGGACGGCAAGUUGAAUGUGAAAUGCAUGGGCUUAACCCAUGAGCUGCGUUCAAAACUGUCGUUCUUGAGUGAAGUAGAGGCAGGCGGAAUUCCUAGUGUAGCGGUGAAAUGCGUAGAUAUUAGGAGGAACACCAGUGGCGAAGGCGGCCUGCUGGGCUUUAACUGACGCUGAGGCUCGAAAGCAUGGGGAGCAAACAGGAUUAGAUACCCUGGUAGUCCAUGCCGUAAACGAUGAUUACUAGGUGUGGGGGGACUGACCCCUUCCGUGCCGCAGUUAACACAAUAAGUAAUCCACCUGGGGAGUACGGCCGCAAGGUUGAA
rnacentral:rRNA from 1 species